UGAGCAUGGGAGCCCACAUUGCUGGACAGCCUCAUGGUAAAGCUAUCAAAUCCUGCUCUUGGCAUAUUUUGCAGUAGUGUUGUGCCCAGGGAGGGGGGCAGUCAGUCCUGGGGGACGGGCAAUAAGGAGGUGAACUGCUGGCCGAGAACAUAAACACAAUCAUUAUUAAAUUGAUUACAUGUAGUGUGCUUUUUAUUAUUACCAUGUGCCAGCAAUCCUAAACUAUGUCAAUGAUAGAACACCUUCCCAUAAGAAAUAAUUUUUUGUUCUAACUGGUCUAAUUGUUACAGUUAGUGUUACAGUUAGCGUUGAGAGUGUUUUUCCAUUUUUUUUUACUGUGAUAAAAUAUGAUUACCAUUUUAGCCAUGGUUAAGUGUACAGUUCAGUGGCAUGAAACACAUUAAUGUUUAGUUUUAAUAAAAUAUUUGUUAGCUUCAUUUUUUUUUUACAUUUCACAUACAUGAAAUAAGCCAAUCACAAAAAGAUAAAUACUACACAAUUCCACUUAAAUGAGGUUAUCUACAGUGAUCAAAUUCUUAGAAACAAAAAGUAGAAUGGUGGUUACUCCGGACUGGAGGAAGCAGGAAAUGAGAAAUUGUUCAGUGGAUACAGAUUGAGUAUCCUCUCUGAAGAUUUGUAUAUUUAAAAUUUUUUUCUUUAUCUGAUUGAGUUGAUUUGAAGAAUCAGUUUUUGAGCUCUGAGAUUCCACAGCUUGAUCUAUUCCUCUGUUAAUGCUUCCAACACUAUUAUGAAAAUUUUGUAGUGAAUUUUUAAAUUCCAGUUCAGUUUGGUUCUUUUUAAAAAUGGCUAUUUUGUCUUUCAAUUUUUGGGUCAUUUUUACUGGAUUCCUUGGAUUGGGUUUCUACUUCCUCUUGAAUCUUGAUGAGCUUCUUUGGUAUCCAGAUUCUGAAUUCUAUGUCUGUCAUUCCGGACAUUUCAGUCCUUGCUGAGGGGCUAGUAUGCUUAUUUGACGUUUUGAAUUGCCAGAGUUCUUGUGCUGACUCUUUUGAGAGGGCUGGUGUUCCUUUGUCGUCUUGUUUUUAUAUUAUUCAUUUACCUUGAGGGCUUAACUGUGGUAUAUGUUGAGUAUAGUCAAUUGGCUUCAUUUCUGGAUACUUUCAGAGGGCCAAGGCUCUGUAUGGGAUCUUUGUGGCUAGAUUCUUGCUCUGGGUUUUACAGGUGCUCUAUACUGGCAGAAUAUUUUGAAAUUGUAAUUUCGGCGGCAAACCAGUAGAUGGCGCUUAAGAGUAAUUGCCGGCAGGCUCUGACUCAGCGCUGGCUCUUUGGUAUUUUGUAUUCGCAGUCAUGCUCCAUAGUUCAGGGGAGAGAGAUGAUCCUUUUGCCAAGUCCUCUCCUGGCCCUUAGAGGAGCCCCCUCCAAUCACUGGAGCUGCACUUACGUUUCCUUUGUUAGGUGUUCGGAGCUGUGGGGGCUCUCUCCGGCAGAGGCUAAGGCUUGCAGACAGGCCGCAACCCUUCCCUGAAAGGCCCUGAGAGAGACAAGUCUCAUCCCGCGCUGGCCCACGAACUGCUUCUCACUCCUCCCAGUGUUCUGAGUGGAGGCUCCUCCCCCGCGCUUGCGCACCAGCCACAGGUCUCAGCUGGGCACUCCUGAGCUCUGUGCUGCAACCUUGGGGCAUUGGGCUCUGUCUUUCGGCCCCUCGGGGUCAGACCCCUGCUGUGUUGGGGGAUCCGAAGUGCUCCCAAGCUGCCUGGAAAGCAUUCAGGCGGGGUCGCUAGCAAGAACUCAGGCUGGGCAGCGGAGGCGGCACAGUGCACACACUCCUGCAGGAACAACCAGACAGGGGCUUUGGGAGGGGCUGCGUGCAGGGGGUCCCGCAGAACAUAUGCGCCCCAGUCCCGCAGGAAGGACCGCCCUGCUCUCUCUUGGCUCACUGGUGGGGACAGCACUUCCUGGAAUAACGUUGCUUUGGAUUUAACAACAGUUGGGCAAAGGAGGUCGGUAUACAGAUACAGGACAAGAAGAGUGGUGUCAAAGGGAGGCUAAAUCAUUGGUUCUGGCUUCAUCUAAGGAAUUCUUAUGAGAAAUCGAGGGAGAGACUGUCCUGGGAAGUCUGAUGAAACAUGAUCAAGAUAUUUUAACUUCUGUGUUUAGCGCCUUUAAUAGAUUGAGCUAAGAAGUCUAAGCAAUCUUCAGGGCUAAGAAACAAGCUGCACUUGCCAGAGUUGGAUGUUCACACCUUGGUGAUGGCUGAUAUUAAACAGAAUUCUUAAUGAACAAAUCGGCCUUGAAAAGGGAACAUGGUGAAGCAAGACAAAAGAAUUACAAACUUUGACUGAAACUUUCUCCUACCAGGAAUACAGGGACCGCUCACCAGGUUGUGAUGAGAAGGAUCAUCUGAAAUGCUCCAUUGCUCUCAGAAGUUGAGGUAACUUCAUUGGGCCCAAACUGAUAAACUAGGAAUGGCUCAGAAAAUAGCCCCUUAGAAGAACUGUAUGAAGCUUGGAUCCAUUUUUCUGAGAAAAAAGAAAAAUCCCUCCAAUGAUUUGGUGAGGAGUUGAAGACAAAUAUCUUUAUUAUUUAUAAGUAUUCUGGCCAAGACAAUGAGUGUUGGAGUGGGAGGAUGAGGGAAUUUUAUGAUGAACGACAGCACAGCAAGAUGGACAGUAAGGCUCUGUCAUUGCCAUACCAGAUGUACAGAAGUGGCAUUUCAACUAAGGACACUGAAUAUGAAACAGACCUUGGAAAAGAGAGGAUGGAGUUAACUCUGAGAACAGAAAUCACCUACCUCUCUCCUCCCUAAACACACAGCUUACUGUCUAUAAUAAUAUACCCUUACUGGUCCAUUGUCCUCAUUAACAUAACUACAAUUCCAGGAGACUCUUGCCCAGGCAAAUUGCUUUAUUGUUCAUUACAGAGAGUUUUUGAAACAAAGAACCAUCAAUGCUUCAACAGAAAGCAUCAACAGUUUAUACCCCAAGAUCUUAGAACUCCUCACUUCCAAAUCCUCACUAUGCUAAUCCUAAACUAUUAUGUCAUGAUUUUUACCUAAACAAGACCCUGCAUGGAAAGAUCCUCUUUAUACAAUCUUUCAUUUUUUUGUCCUGGCUUUAAAAUGCAAAGCCCAUAUCCUUGGAAUUCCCUCUGUCUUGGGCAAAGUGUGACAGUUGGCCACCCUACUCCAAAAUCUCAUAAUUUUCCCACCUUGCCCCUCUAGAGACUAUCAAUCUCUGUUGAGGUGGUUCUCUCUUUCCAGGGUGAGCAAUAAACUCCUUGCCAGAGCUUUCCAUUGGGGGAGGAGGGUUUGAACUACUGCCAGAGACAAACAGAUGUAAACUAGAUGCAGGAGUUUGGAAAUUGAGCAGGGUUUGCAGUCUGGAAAAUUGCUCCACAAGAGACUGUCGUUGAACGAGUAGUCCUGAGUGAGUGGUCUAAGAGAACGUCAGAGUGAAAGAAAAUGCAGCCCACCUGGGUCAGCUGAAAAGGUAGAGAAUAAAAGGGAAAUGAAAUGCAGCUGCUAGUAACAGUUGAUUAAAUGAGGCUGGCAACUUACAUGGAGGCUGGAAGAGGAGAAAUGUGGGAGAGGCAGCAAGGAGAGAGAAGGAAACAUGAAGGAGGAGAAGAUUUCUAGAAGGAAAUGUAAGAGCUACAAAGGAGAAAGAUGAAUGAGAGACCCCACAAGAAAACAGCAGGGAAAAGAAGCUGCUUUCUGAGUUGAUGGUUGUUUCUAGUUUGGGGCUAUUAUGAAGAAAGCUGCUAUGAAGAACAUCCAUGUACAAAUCAUUUUAUGGACACACAUACUCAUUGCUCUUGGGUAAAUAUCUAGGAAUAUGAUUUAUGGAUCAUAG
rnacentral:lncRNA from 1 species